AUUGCCUUAGUAGCGGCGAGUGAGCGGCAAUAGCUCAAUUUGAAAUCUGGCACCUUCGGUGUCCGAGUUGUAAUUUGAAGAAGGUAUCUUUGGUUUUGGCUCUUGUCUAUGUUCCUUGGAACAGGACGUCACAGAGGGUGAGAAUCCCGUGCGAUGAGAUGCCCAAUUCCAUGUAAAGUUCCUUCGACGAGUCGAGUUGUUUGGGAAUGCAGCUCUAAGUGGGUGGUAAAUUCCAUCUAAAGCUAAAUAUUGGCGAGAGACCGAUAGCGAACAAGUACUGUGAAGGAAAGAUGAAAAGAACUUUGAAAAGAGAGUGAAAAAGUACGUGAAAUUGUUGAAAGGGAAGGGCUUGAGGUCAGACUUGGUUUUACCAGGCCAGCAUCAGUUUGGAUGGCAGGAUAAUAGCUUAGGAAUGUGGCACUGCUUCGGUAGUGUGUUAUAGCCUGGGUUGAUACUGCCU
rnacentral:rRNA from 1 species